AUUGAACGCUGGCGGCAGGCCUAACACAUGCAAGUCGACCUUAGUGGCGAACGGGUGAGUAACACGCGCGUAACCUGCCCAUCAGAAGGGGAUAACACUUGGAAACAGGUGCUAAUACUGGAUACCAAUGGAUGGACCCGCGGUGCAUGGGCCAGUUGGGGGGGUAACGGCCCACCAAGGCCACGAGGCAUACCCGACCUGAGAGGGUGAUCGGCCACAUUGGAACUGGAACACGGCCCAAACUCCUACGGGAGGCAGCAGUAGGGAAUCUUCGGCAAUGGACGAGAGUCUGACCGAGCAACGCCGCGUGAGUGAAGAAGGUUUUCGGAUCGUAAAACUCUGUUGUUGGAGAAGCGGUAUCUAACCAGAAAGCCACGGCUAACUACGUGCCAGCAGCCGCGGUAAUAC
rnacentral:rRNA from 1 species